UACGUAGGUGGCAAGCGUUAUCCGGAAUUAUUGGGUUUAAAGGGUGCGUAGGCGGGCUUUUAAGUCAGCGGUAAAAAUUCGGGGCUCAACCCCGUCCGGCCGUUGAAACUGGGGGCCUUGAGUGGGCGAGAAGAAGGCGGAAUGCGUGGUGUAGCGGUGAAAUGCAUAGAUAUCACGCAGAACCCCGAUUGCGAAGGCAGCCUUCCGGCGCCCUACUGACGCUGAGGCACGAAAGUGCGGGGAUCGAACAGG
rnacentral:rRNA from 1 species